UGCAUGGUGGCACAGUUGGUAGCACUGUUGCCUUGCAGCAAGAAGUUCCUGGGUUCGACUCCCGGCCGGGGGUCUUUAUGCAU